GGAAAAAUGCCAGAGUGGUCGAAUGGGCCGCACUCGAAAUGCGGUGAACGGGUAACUGUUCCGGGGGUUCGAAUCCCUCUUUUUCCGCCA
rnacentral:tRNA from 1 species